GGAUUAUUGGGCGUAAAGAGCUCGUAGGCGGUUUGUCGCGUCUGGUGUGAAAACUCGAGGCUCAACCUCGAGCUUGCAUCGGGUACGGGCAGACUAGAGUGCGGUAGGGGAGACUGGAAUUCCUGGUGUAGCGGUGGAAUGCGCAGAUAUCAGGAGGAACACCGAUGGCGAAGGCAGGUCUCUGGGCCGCAACUGACGCUGAGGAGCGAAAGCAUGGGGAGCGAACAGGAUUAGAUACCCUGGUAGUCCAUGCCGUAAACGUUGGGCACUAGGUGUGGGGCUCAUUCCACGAGUUCCGUGCCGCAGCAAACGCAUUAAGUGCCCCGCCUGGGGAGUACGGCCGCAAGGCUAAAACUCAAAUG
rnacentral:rRNA from 1 species